GACGGCCCUAUGGGUUGUAAACUGCUUUUAUAAGGGAAUAAAGUGAGUCUCGUGAGACUUUUUGCAUGUACCUUAUGAAUAAGGACCGGCUAAUUCCGUGCCAGCAGCCGCGGUAAUACGGAAGGUCCGGGCGUUAUCCGGAUUUAUUGGGUUUAAAGGGAGCGUAGGCCGGAGAUUAAGCGUGUUGUGAAAUGUAGACGCUCAACGUCUGCACUGCAGCGCGAACUGGUUUCCUUGAGUACGCACAAAGUGGGCGGAAUUCGUGGUGUAGCGGUGAAAUGCUUAGAUAUCACGAAGAACUCCGAUUGCGAAGGCAGCUCACUGGAGCGCAACUGACGCUGAAGCUCGAAAGUGCGGGUAUCGAACAGGAUUAGAUACCCUGGUAGUCCGCACGGUAAACGAUGGAUGCCCGCUGUUGGUCUGAAUAGGUCAGCGGCCAAGCGAAAGCAUUAAGCAUCCCACCUGGGGAGUACGCCGGCAACGGUGAAACUCAAAGGAAUUGACGGGGGCCCGCACAAGCGGAGGAACAUGUGGUUUAAUUCGAUGAUACGCGAGGAACCUUACCCGGGCUUGAAUUGCAGAGGAAGGAUUUGGAGACAAUGACGCCCUUCGGGGUCUCUGUGAAGGUGCUGCAUGGUUGUCGUCAGCUCGUGCCGUGAGGUGUCGGCUUAAGUGCCAUAACGAGCGCAACCCCUCUCCUUAGUUGCCAUCAGGUUAAGCUGGGCACUCUGGGGACACUGCCACCGUAAGGUGUGAGGAAGGUGGGGAUGACGUCAAAUCAGCACGGCCCUUACGUCCGGGGCUACACACGUGUUACAAUGGCAGGUACAGAGAGAUGGUGUUCUGCAAAGCGCAUCUAAUCCUUAAAGCCUGUCUCAGUUCGGACUGGGGUCUGCAACCCGACCCCACGAAGCUGGAUUCGCUAGUAAUCGCGCAUCAGCCAUGGCGCGGUGAAUACGUUCCCGGGCCUUGUACACACCGCCCGUCAAGCCAUGAAAGCCGGGGGCGCCUAAAGUCCGUGACCGUAAGGAGCGGCCUAGGGCGAAACUGGUAAUUGGGGCUAAGUCGUAACAAGGUAGCCGUACCGGAAGGUGCGGCUGGAACACCUCCUUU
rnacentral:rRNA from 1 species